CACCGAAGUACUCACCAUCACCUAACAAUGCGAUUCGGAGUUCUUCACCAUGUGGUCCUUUACUGAUUACUUCGGCCUGGCCAUUCGCCACAAUGAAGAACUUUUGCUUGUCUUUUCCUUCCUCGACAAACAGUUGCCCUAUCUCCACUUCCUUCGUUUCGAAUGAGCGAGCAAGACGAUCCACUAUCUCAUCCUCGAACUCAGAGAACAGCGGAAUGGCUUUCAGACUUUUGGCGGAGAACGAGGGCUGGCCAUUCAGGUACUGGAUGGGCAAACGCUCGCUUUUGCGGAGUUCAACUUUCGUGCGGUUAACACGGAAUGUGCCUCCGCUUACCUGCACCCAAGGAAGCAGUUUCAACAGAAGUCUUGGAGUGAUGGAACCCAUCUGGGGGGCGGUCUUGGUGGUUGUCGCCAGUCUUCUGGCGGUGGCAGUAGUCACACU
rnacentral:antisense_RNA from 1 species